CAGCCGCCGCGGGAAUACGUAGGUGGCAAGCGUUGUCCGGAAUUAUUGGGCGUAAAGGGCUCGCAGGCGGUUUCUUAAGUCUGAUGUGAAAGCCCCCGGCUCAACCGGGGAGGGUCAUUGGAAACUGGGAAACUUGAGUGCAGAAGAGGAGAGUGGAAUUCCACGUGUAGCGAUGAAAUGCGUAGAGAUGUGGAGGAACACCAGUGGCGAAGGCGACUCUCUGGUCUGUAACUGACGCUGAGGAGCGAAAGCGUGGGGAGCGAACAGGAUUAGAGACCCCUGUAGUCCCUGUCUCUUAUAC
rnacentral:rRNA from 1 species